rnacentral:ncRNA from 1 species
CGGUUUGCAAGAAUCGACGGGAUAAUUGGGAAGCCGGUUUGAUGCCGGCGCUGCCCCCGCAACGGUAGCAGAGCUGAAACUGCGGCAUUAUCCACUGGAGGAGAUCCGGGAAGGCGCCGCAGGGGUCCAAGGGAGGACGGCUCUGAAGCCCGGAAACCAGCCUCGGGAC